rnacentral:rRNA from 1 species
AGUGAACGCUGGCGGUAGGCCUAACACAUGCAAGUCGAACGGCAGCACAGUAAGAGCUUGCUCUUACGGGUGGCGAGUGGCGGACGGGUGAGGAAUACAUCGGAAUCUACUUUUUCGUGGGGGAUAACGUAGGGAAACGUACGCUAAUACCGCAUACGACCUACGGGUGAAAGCAGGGGAUCUUCGGACCUUGCGCGAUUGAAUGAGCCGAUGUCGGAUUAGCUAGUUGGCGGGGUAAAGGCCCACCAAGGCGACGAUCCGUAGCUGGUCUGAGAGGAUGAUCAGCCACACUGGAACUGAGACACGGUCGAGACUCCUACGGGAGGCAGCAGUGGGGAAUAUUGGACAAUGGGCGCAAGCCUGAUCCAGCCAUACCGCGUGGGUGAAGAAGGCCUUCGGGUUGUAAAGCCCUUUUGUUGGGAAAGAAAAGCAGCAGGUUAAUACCCCGCUGUUCUGACGGUACCCAAAGAAUAAGCACCGGCUAACUUCGUG